rnacentral:rRNA from 1 species
UACAGAGGAGCCAAGCGUUGUCCGGAUUGACUGGGCGUAAAGCGCACGCAGGCGGAUGCGCGCGUGGGGUGUGAAAUCUGGCCGCUUAACGGCCAGGCGCCAUCCCAUACGGCGCGUCUGGAGUGAUGCAGAGGUCGAUGGAAUUGCCGGUGUAGCGGUGGAAUGCGUAGAGAUCCGGAAGAACACCGGUGGCGAAGGCGGCCUGCUGGGCAGUAGCUGACGCUGAGGCGCGACAGCGUGGGGAGCAAACAGG